rnacentral:rRNA from 1 species
UGGGGAAUUUUGACAAUGGGCGAAAGCCUGAUCCAGCAAUGCCGCGUGUGUGAAGAAGGCCUUCGGGUUGUAAAGCACUUUUGUCCGGAAAGAAAUCCUUGGCUCUAAUACAGUCGGGGGAUGACGGUACCGGAAGAAUAAGCACCGGCUAACUACGUGCCAGCAGCCGCGGUAAUACGUAGGGUGCAAGCGUUAAUCGGAAUUACUGGGCGUAAAGCGUGCGCAGGCGGUUUGCUAAGACCGAUGUGAAAUCCCCGGGCUCAACCUGGGAACUGCAUUGGUGACUGGCAGGCUAGAGUAUGGCAGAGGGGGGUAGAAUUCCACGUGUAGCAGUGAAAUGCGUAGAGAUGUGGAGGAAUACCGAUGGCGAAGGCAGCCCCCUGGGCCAAUACUGACGCUCAUGCACGAAAGCGUGGGGAGCAAACAGGAUUAGAUACCCUGGUAGUCCACGCCCUAAACGAUGUCAACUAGUUGUGGGGAUUCAUUUCCUUAGUAACGUAGCUAACGCGUGAAGUUGACCGCCU